UGUCUGCCCAGACUUACCUCAGUGAUGGAGUGUGACCUGAGAGUUCUAAGCUGAAGGGAAACUGAGGCUGAGAGAUGUCUGCUGCAAACACGUCUCCACCCACUAUGACCUGAGUGUGCCCCCGGGGCUCACUCUCCCCUGGCCUGCAGUGCUUUUUCUCUGGGUGUGCUGGAGAGUGGAGAUGGGAAAAGCUACAGUCUCUGAACCCAACUGAAACAGGCUGCCCUGCACUCUGGACAGACCGAUCCCUGGCAGUGGCAGGUGUGCGGUUCUGCAAGCGUGUGCAUGGACCUGAGCGUCCCACGGAGUGUGUGUGGGCUUGAGAGAAGGUACCCACCUUCUGUCAGCUAUCAGCUGACUUCACUUAAACAGCAGGGGAACAGAAGAGAGGAGGGGAAUGCUGGCUGGGACAUUCACAGACACCUUCUGAUCUGAGCUUCCAGGAUGCUUGGCCUCCAGUUCUAGGAAAGAUGGAGUCUGGGCACCAGUCAAGCAACCAUAGAGACACAAACCCAAGGCAGUCAGAGUCACGAUGACUGGGAGGAACAGCUGGGAAAUGGCUUCAGGGCCUGCCUGAGCCAGGAGCCACUGGCCCAAGAGGCUUCUUUAGGCCACAACUGAAACAUAGGAAAAGAUGGCCUCCUGAGAGCUAGCUGCAUUACUGUGAGUUCAAGGGAAGAACAGGAGAGAAGAGAUGAAGACAUCUAUCUACCAGAGUCUGGGGACAAAAGGGAGGGUGUCACUCUGGCUGGGGCCACAGAGCCUGUGGAAAGCUGACACAUCCCUCCCGGUUUCAGCCCUGCUCUUUAGAAUGUCAGAGGGGAAGUGUAAUUAAGGCCACGCAGCUGUGAAGGAUUAGCAUUCCAACCUGGAAAGCCUGAGUUUUAAUUAGUAAUUAGGCCUUUUCUGCAGAGCCUGCAAACAAGCAGAGGUUUGGUGACCUUUCUCCUGAAGGCACGGUGACAGCCUGGCUGACACGCUGAUACACCUAGGGGCUUUUUCAGAGAGGCCUGGACGAGGCACAAAAGCAGCCUUACUCUUCAUGGUGGGGCCGCCAGAAAGGGGCUCCUGCAGAUCCCUGCUCCCUACCUGGCUCCCAGAGCUCACAGCCAGCACCCCCAAAUCCAUCUGGGCCCUGGAAAUGACAGGUCUGGUGGCUUCUUCAGCAUGAGCCCAAGGUCACCACAUUUCCAUCAGGAGUCCCUGCAGAUGGGAAUCAGGAUGGGUCUGUGUCCAGAAGGCAAGUGAGCAGGACCUAGAGGAACAUAAGCCCUUCAGCUGGGCUCCUAGAAUUGCAUGGUCCUUCUGCUCCGUCUUGGCUAUCUAUCACCAUGUACAAAAAAAAAAUCACCAGGCUUUUUCUGGCAGGCCUGACUCCCAACCUGUUCCCAAGAUGUUAGGAGAGGCCAUGAACCACAUGGGGUCUGUUGGCCAAGCCAUGACCAGGACCCAGGGCUACAGCUCCCAACUACUCUGCCCCAAGACAGGCCUCUGAACCCUCCUGUUUGACCACAUUGCCCAGCCAGCAUGACACACUUGCACCUAGGGUGUACUGGCCCACAUGGGCACAGAUGCUUUCACACCAUCCCAGGAAAGCACAAACCCUGGGACACCGCUCGGGUCUAACCUAUGCCUCUCAGGGGACUCAGCCAAGGGUCUCAUUAGCUCUUGUCUACUUUGUGGGGCCCUGUAGCUAUGACCAGCAUGUCACAGGACAUGGACACUUAUGGUGCUUCCAAGUGUCUGUAUGCACCUCUCAGAGAGAGGACAGACUUGUUUGAAUUCAACAUCACGGUCACAUUAAGGUUGUUUGGGGACCUCUGUGUUUGUAUGUGUCCCACUCAAAAGGCCAGUGGGGCAGGUGACUCUGAAGCAUUGCCCCUGGUGGGUUAUUGGUCAGCACAGCCUGGGCUGGCUGGAUGCAGGUCGUAAUAUCAUAGACAACACAAUACAGGUCUAUUCCUGUAGCUCAUCCUUGCUGCUCAUUCCCAGCAAAGAGCCCUUCCCUGAGACCCAUCAGGCUAGGCCCUGGGGGGACAGUAGGAGGGAGGAGCCCCCCCCCCUUCACCAGAAUGAUGCAGUCUGCAGACUUCAUAGUAACUCAGAAGUGAGCUCUCCCUUCCAGCACCAUAUAAACUUUAAUUGGGCUUUUUAAAGGUCACGAAAACAAAUACUUUCUCAUAAAGAAACCAUUUGGGCACACUCAAAAACGCACAGGUAACUGUCAGUGUGAGUUGAUUGUUCAUGCCAGGGAACAGACGUCUCUUGCACACAGGCAUAUCCGUACCUGGUGUACCCCACCUCUGGGCAUGGGGCUACUGUAACCAGCCAUGAGACUAAGGCUGGCACUGUGGGGUAGGCUGAGGUAGGAAGAGUACCUUGGGGCUGGAGCUUCACACAGCCCUUCACGUCUCCAACCCUCACCUUCCUCUGUGUCACAGACUUGUUGGCCUUUCAGCAUCUGAGACGCAUAUAUUCUCAGAUGGGGAAACUGAGGCCCAGUGGGGUUAAGUCAUUCAAAAAGUGACUAUACCCAGUCCAGUCUCUGUAACUCCCAAGUGCGAC
ensembl:lincRNA F730016J06Rik RIKEN cDNA F730016J06 gene